rnacentral:lncRNA from 1 species
GCAGAGCCGGGCCCUGCCGGGAAGGGGAUGGGAGGACGCUCCGGAGCCUUGGCCCGAGGGAAGCUUCGCUGGCUGAGGGUAAAACCUCCAGAAGGAAGCCUGGGAGAAGCCACAGGAAUCCUGGCUGGGUGUUGGAUGUUUGCCCCUGACACGUGUGACCACAGCAAUCACUGCAGCUAAAACCAGCUGGAAAAUAUCAGUUUGGAAAAUGGCAGUUAAAAACCCAUUUGUAAUGAAAUGGACUGGCUUCAGAUUGCCGUGGGAAGUGAGGAAUUCAGCUGGAAUUGUGAUUUCAGGGGCUAAGGGGCCUCAGCACACACCAAAGACGGUGCCUCGGUCACAGCAGCUGCCACCCCUUGUCCUGACCAGCCUGGACCUGCUCCAGGAGUGUGGACACCAGCUCAGGCAGACUCUGCUGCCAGGCACUCCAGAAAUAUUCCAUGGGCAGAAAGGAAAAGGACAAGGUCGCUGUUUGGGGGUUUGGGCUCCCUCCCAUCUGC